AUUGAACGCUGGCGGCAGGCCUAACACAUGCAAGUCGAGCGGCAGCGGGAAAGUAGCUUGCUACUUUUGCCGGCGAGCGGCGGACGGGUGAGUAAUGCCUGGGAAAUUGCCCAGUCGAGGGGGAUAACAGUUGGAAACGACUGCUAAUACCGCAUACGCCCUACGGGGGAAAGCAGGGGACCUUCGGGCCUUGCGCGAUUGGAUAUGCCCAGGUGGGAUUAGCUAGUUGGUGAGGUAAUGGCUCACCAAGGCGACGAUCCCUAGCUGGGCUGAGAGGAUGAUCAGCCACACUGGAACGGGGCCACGGUCCAGACUCCUACGGGAGGCAGCAGUGGGGAAUAUUGCAGAAUGGGGGAAACCCUGAUGCAGCCAUGCCGCGUGUGUGAAGAAGGCCUUCGGGUUGUAAAGCACUUUCAGCGAGGAGGAAAGGUUGAUGCCUAAUACGUAUCAACUGUGACGUUACUCGCAGAAGAAGCACCGGCUAACUCCGUGCCAGCAGCCGCAGUAAUAC
rnacentral:rRNA from 1 species